CCGCCAACGUAUAAAAUUCACUUACGCAACCGGAUAAAAAGCAUACUGUGCUACACCACACAUGCCUUGAGGCCAAGCCACGUCUCUUCGGAUCCUAAUGUAACCUUUUUCUCCCCAAGUUUCGCCCCAAGAGUUUUUAGCCAGCCAGUACUUAGUUCCAUCCUGGCUCGUUCCAUACCCAACAAACGUAACAGCGUGGUUCGAGCUGGUCCCACAAGGCCCAUCAUAUACUCCUCCCGAGUAAUGCAUGAACCCGUCCCCAGUCGCGUCCAUCGACACAGAGACUGGUUGCCUCGAUACAGCCUCGAGCAAGGCCCGCUCGUUGUUGCUAGGGACGGUUUGGAAUCCACUGAUACGUGCAGCUGGUCUUGCAUUGGACCGGCAUCCCCCAUCUGAUCCUUGGUAAGAGUAGUCAUUCUCUGAUGCGAUGCCUCGAUUUUGGACUACAUAGUUGAAAGCGUCCGACAUUAUCCCACCGUCGCAGCCUCGGUCGUACUCUCUGUCGCAGUCUAGAAGCUGUUGUUCGGACAGAGAUACAAGGUUCCCGCCGGCGAUCUUAGCCACACCUUCCACUGCUGCUACAGCCGAAAAUGCCCAGCAACAUCCUGUAGAUAUGGAUAUUUGGUAAGUUGGAUGCCGAUCAUAAUAGAAACGAGACAAAAUAUAAUGACCAAAUCAUCACUGAACCCUACUUACUAUAACCCUAUAACUAACUUGGACAUCAAGUUUAAUAUUUUGUAUCCUCCCAAUUGUUUUCGCCUUUGCAUUGUAUUUGAUUCUAGAUAUUAUACAUGCUAAAUUGUUAUUCUUACUUCUAUGAACCAAAAUGAAACAUAAUUAAUUUAACCAUAUUUGAAAAUUAAUUCUAAAAAUAAAAUUGUAAAUUAACUUGAUAAUCAAUGAAAGAAUAUUACCGCAUUGGCCUUGGUACUUGACA